rnacentral:misc_RNA from 1 species
AAGACUAUAGACCUGCGGAGUACCUGCGGAGGGAUCAUUAAUGAGAAACUGCCCCUCGCGGGUAGAUCUCCCACCCUUUGUAAACUUACCUUUGUUGCUUUGGCAGGCCCGUCUCCGGACCGCCGGCUUCGGCUGGCCAGUGCCUGCCAGAGGAUUCUAAAACUCUGUCUGUCAGUGUUGUCUGAGUCUAUAUACAAUCGUUAAAACUUUUAGCAACGGAUCUCUAGAUCGGAAGAGCAC